rnacentral:rRNA from 1 species
AUUGAACGCUGGCGGCAGGCCUAACACAUGCAAGUCGAGCGGAUGAAGGGAGCUUGCUCCUGGAUUCAGCGGCGGACGGGUGAGUAAUGCCUAGGAAUCUGCCUGGUAGUGGGGGAUAACGUCCGGAAACGGGCGCUAAUACCGCAUACGUCCUGAGGGAGAAAGUGGGGGAUCUUCGGACCUCACGCUAUCAGAUGAGCCUAGGUCGGAUUAGCUAGUUGGUGGGGUAAAGGCCUACCAAGGCGACGAUCCGUAACUGGUCUGAGAGGAUGAUCAGUCACACUGGAACUGAGACACGGUCCAGACUCCUACGGGAGGCAGCAGUGGGGAAUAUUGGACAAUGGGCGAAAGCAUGACCCAGCCAUGCCGCGUGUGUGAAGAAGGUCUUCGGAUUGUAAAGCACUUUAAGUUGGGAGGAAGAGCAGUAAGUUAAUACCUUGCUGUUUUGACGUUACCAACAGAAUAAGCACCGGCUAACUUCGU